CAAUAGCGUAUAUUUAAGUUGUUGCAGUUAAAAAGCUCGUAGUUGGAUUUCGGAUGGGACUUGCCGGUCCGUCGUUUCGAUGUGCACUGGCCAGUCCUAUCUUGUUGUCGGGGACUAGCUCCUGGGCUUCACUGUCCGGGACUAGGAGCUGACGAGGUUACUUUGAGUAAAUUAGAGUGUUCAAAGCAAGCCUACGCUCUGAAUACAUUAGCAUGGAAUAACACGAUAGGACUCUGGCUUAUCUUGUUGGUCUGUGAGACCAGAGUAAUGAUUAAGAGGGACAGUCGGGGGCAUUCGUAUUUCAUUGUCAGAGGUGAAAUUCUUGGAUUUAUGAAAGACGAACUUCUGCGAAAGCAUUUGUCAAGGACGUUUUCAUUAA
rnacentral:rRNA from 1 species